rnacentral:rRNA from 1 species
GACGAACCGUGCGAACGUUAUUCGGAAUCACUGGGCUUAAAGCGCGUGUAGGCGGGUCGGCGCGUCGGCCGCUGAAAUCCCCCGGCUCAACCGGGGAAGGGGCGCCGAGACGGCCGGCCUGGAGGGACGUAGGGGGGGCUGGAACUUCCGGUGGAGCGGUGAAAUGCGUUGAGAUCGGAAGGAACGCCCGUGGCGAAAGCCGAGCCCCUGGACGUCUACUGACGCUGAGACGCGAAAGCCAGGGGAGCGAACGGG